GGACCCGUGGUCUAGCGGUUGCACUAAAAGCGGCCUAACGCCGCUUAUUGCCACAGAUGACAGCGCCCUUACAAGGCGUUAGUCCCCGGUUCAAAUGCCAGUAGCCUAUGCAAGAUAGGGCUGCUUGAAAGUCCGGGCGGGUCCA
rnacentral:tRNA from 1 species